AGGCGCGAAAACUUUACAAUGCUGGCAACAGCGAUAAGGGGACCUCGAGUGCCAGGUUACAAAUCUGGCUGUCGAGAUGCCUAAAAAGCAUUUCAUAGCAAGGGCCGGGCAAGACCGGUGCCAGCCGCCGCGGUAACACCGGCGGCUCGAGUGGUAACCGCUAUUAUUUGGUCUAAAGGGUCUGUAGCCGGCCGAAUAAGUCUCUUGGGAAAUCUGGCUGCUCAACAGUCAGGCUAUCAGGAGAUACUGUUCGGCUCGAGGCCGGGAGAGGUGAGAGGUACUUCAGGGGUAGGGGUGAAAUCUUGUAAUCCUUGAAGGACCACCAGUGGCGAAGGCGUCUCACCAGAACGGGCCUGACGGCAAGGGACGAAAGCUAGGGGCACGAACCGGAUUAGAUACCCGGGUAGUCCUAGCCGUAAACGAUACUCGCUAGGUGUCGGCCACGGUGCGACCGUAGUCGGUGCCGUAGGGAAGCCGUGAAGCGAGCCACCUGGGAAGUGCGGCCGCAAGGCUGAAACUUAAAGGAAUUGGCGGGGGAGCACUACAACGGGUGGAGCCUGCGGUUUAAUUGGAUUCAACGCCGGGAAGCUUACCGGGAUCGACAGCAAUAUGAAGGCCAGGCUGAAGACCUUGCCGGAUUCGCUGAGAGGUGGUGCAUGGCCGUCGUCAGUUCGUACUGUGAAGCAUA
rnacentral:rRNA from 1 species